rnacentral:rRNA from 1 species
GACGAACGCUGGCGGCGUGCUUAACACAUGCAAGUCGAACGAUGAAGCUGGAGCUUGCUCCGGUGGAUUAGUGGCGAACGGGUGAGUAACACGUGAGCAAUCUGCCCUUGACUCUGGGAUAACUGCGGGAAACUGUAGCUAAUACCGGAUACGAGGCUUGGGGGCAUCCCCGAGCCUGGAAAGAAUUUCGGUCAAGGAUGAGCUCGCGGCCUAUCAGCUAGUUGGUGAGGUAAUGGCUCACCAAGGCGACGACGGGUAGCCGGCCUGAGAGGGUGACCGGCCACACUGGGACUGAGACACGGCCCAGACUCCUACGGGAGGCAGCAGUGGGGAAUAUUGCACAAUGGGCGAAAGCCUGAUGCAGCAACGCCGCGUGAGGGAUGAAGGCCUUCGGGUUGUAAACCUCUUUUAGCAGGGAAGAAGCGAAAGUGACGGUACCUGCAGAAAAAGCACCGGCUAACUACGUGCCAGCCGCCGCAGUAA